rnacentral:ncRNA from 1 species
UAAAAGGCUAUGAAAAAGAAGAGUAUAUGAAUAUUUUCUGCAAAGAGAGCUGAUAGAUGGUGGGAGUUCAGUGAGAAAGUUCAUAGAAAGAAGCUUUGGAGCUAUGGCUGAAAGAAGAUUUCGUAGUAGGUCAUGGGAGGCACCCCAUAUAUGCGAUAAAGAGAGUUUUGCUUAUAUUUUAAGCAGGCUAAUUUAGGUGGUACCGCGGAUAACAGUCUUUCGUCCUAAUA